rnacentral:rRNA from 1 species
UGAGGAAUAUUGGUCAAUGGGCGGAAGCCUGAACCAGCCAAGUCGCGUGAGGGAAGACGGUCCUAUGGAUUGUAAACCUCUUUUGCAGGGGAGCAUGACCUGUUACGUGUAACAGGUUGGAGAGUACCCUGAGAAAAAGCAUCGGCUAACUCCGUGCCAGCAGCCGCGGUAAUACGGAGGAUGCGAGCGUUAUCCGGAUUUAUUGGGUUUAAAGGGUGCGUAGGCGGGCCGGUAAGUCAGCGGUAAAAAUGCGGUGCUCAACGCCGUAGUGCCGUUGAAAACUGCCGGUCUUGAGUGAGCGAGAAGUAUGCGGAAUGCGUGGUGUAGCGGUGAAAUGCAUAGAUAUCACGCAGAACUCCGAUUGCGAAGGCAGCAUACCGGCGCUCAACUGACGCUGAGGCACGAAAAGCGUGGGGAUCGAACAGGAUUAGAUACC